rnacentral:rRNA from 1 species
GGAAGGAUCAUUAUUGAAUGAACUUGGUGUGGUUGUUGCUGGCCCUCUCGGGGGCAUGUGCACACCCACCAUCCUCAUCUCUCCACCUGUGCACCUCUUGUAGACCUGGAUAGACUUUCCGAGGCAACUCGGUCGGGAAGAUUGCUGCGCUCUGUGAGCCAGCUUUCUUUGCAUGUCCAGGCCUAUGUUUUUCAUAUACCCCUAUAGAAUGUAACAGAAUGUAUCAUUGGGCCUUGUGCCUAUAAACCUUAUACAACUUUCAGCAACGGAUCUCUUGGCUCUCGCAUCGAUGAAGAACGCAGCGAAAUGCGAUAAGUAAUGUGAAUUGCAGAAUUCAGUGAAUCAUCGAAUCUUUGAACGCACCUUGCGCUCCUUGGUAUUCCGAGGAGCAUGCCUGUUUGAGUGUCAUUAAAUUCUCAACCUUAUUAGCUUUUGUUGAUAAUGGAUUGGAUGUGGGGGUUUAUUUGCUGGCUUCUUCACAGAGAUCAGCUCCCCUUAAAUGCAUUAGCUGGUGCCCCGCGUGGACCAUCUAUUGGUGUGAUAAUUAUCUACGCCGUGGAUGUCUGCAAUCAUAUGGGUUUUGCACUGCUUCUAACCGUCUGUUCAUUCGGACAAUACAUGACAAUUUGACCUCAAAUCAGGUAGGACUACCCGCUGAACUUAAGCAUAUCAAUAAGCGGAGGAAAAGAAACUAACAAGGAUUCCCCUAGUAACUGCGAGUGAAGCGGGAAAAGCUCAAAUUUAAAAUCUGGCGGUCUCCGGCCGUCCGAGUUGUAAUCUAGAGAAGUGUUAUCCGCGCUGGACCGUGUACAAGUCUCCUGGAAUGGAGCGUCAUAGAGGGUGAGAAUCCCGUCUUUGACACGGACUGCCAGGGCUUUGUGAUGCGCUCUCAAAGAGUCGAGUUGUUUGGGAAUGCAGCUCAAAAUGGGUGGUAAAUUCCAUCUAAAGCUAAAUAUUGGCGAGAGACCGAUAGCGAACA